rnacentral:rRNA from 1 species
UAAGGAAUAUUGGUCAAUGGACGCAAGUCUGAACCAGCCAUGCCGCGUGAAGGAUGAAGGUCCUCUGGAUUGUAAACUUCUUUUAUCUGGGACGAAAACGGGAUUUUUAUCUCAAUUGACGGUACCAGAGGAAUAAGCACCGGCUAACUCCGUGCCAGCAGCCGCGGUAAUACGGAGGGUGCGAGCGUUAUCCGGAUUUACUGGGUUUAAAGGGUGCGUAGGUGGGCUUAUAAGUCAGUGGUGAAAUCUCCGAGCUUAACUUGGGAACUGCCGUUGAUACUAUAGGUCUUGAAUUAUCUGGAGGUAAGCGGAAUAUGUCAUGUAGCGGUGAAAUGCUUAGAUAUGACAUAGAACACCAAUUGCGAAGGCAGCUUACUACAUAUAAAUUGACGCUGAGGCACGAAAGCGUGG